rnacentral:rRNA from 1 species
AGUGAACGCUGGCGGUAGGCCUAACACAUGCAAGUCGAACGGCAGCACAGUAAGAGCUUGCUCUUACGGGUGGCGAGUGGCGGACGGGUGAGGAAUACAUCGGAAUCUACUUUUUCGUGGGGGAUAACGUAGGGAAACUUACGCUAAUACCGCAUACGACCUACGGGUGAAAGCAGGGGAUCUUCGGACCUUGCGCGAUUGAAUGAGCCGAUGUCGGAUUAGCUAGUUGGCGGGGUAAAGGCCCACCAAGGCGACGAUCCGUAGCUGGUCUGAGAGGAUGAUCAGCCACACUGGAACUGAGACACGGUCCAGACUCCUACGGGAGGCAGCAGUGGGGAAUAUUAGGCAAUGGGCGCAAGCCUGAUCCAGCCAUACCGCGUGGGUGAAGAAGGCCUUCGGGUUGUAAAGCCCUUUUUUUGGGAAAGAAAAGCAGCAGGUUAAUACCCCGCUGUUCUGACGGUACCCAAAGAAUAAGCACCGGCUAACUUCGUG